GUUAAUAAAAUAGUUCAGUUGGUGAGAGCAUAGCGCUGACAAUGCCAAGGCUGCAGGUUCGAUCCCAGUAAGGGACA